GGAUGGUUGGCCGAGUGGUUAUGGCGGCAGUUUUAAGUACCAAUAGUGAUUGUGUAUUUGAACACUGCUAUCGAGAGAUGCAAGGGUUCAAAUCCCUUACCAUCCA